rnacentral:RNase_P_RNA from 2 species
UGAGCCGGCCAGGCGGCCGCGGCCAGCGAACCCCCGGGCCCGAGCGGUCCCGGGAGGCGCUCGUCGAGGAAAGUCCGGACUCCGCUUGAGUGCACGGUGGUUGCUAACGGCAACCCGGGGCGACCCGCGGGCACAGUGCAACAGAAAGUAGACCGCCCGCCACCCCUCGGGGCGGCGGGUAAGGGUGAAAGGGUGCGGUAAGAGCGCACCGGCGGGUCACGCGAGUGGCCCGGCCAGGUAAACCCCACCGGGAGCAAGGCAUCGCCGUGCGCCGCAUCGCCGGCGCGCGGAUGGUGGGCGCGACGAGGCUGCACGCCCAGGCUCACCGGUAGCCGCUUGAGGCGGUCAGCGAUGGCCGACCCAGAUGGAUGGCCGCCCCCUCCCUUGGGGAGGGACAGAAUCCGGCUUAUCGGCCGGCUCAUUCG